UAACUUGUAAGAUUCCUUGGAGGGAUAUCUGUCACCUCAUUGAUUGCCAGGCUUGAUUCAACUAAUCUGGCAGGGUAGGCUGGUAUUCCUUUACUCCCUCACCACUCCAUGUGCAUUCUUCCCCCUGCACACUCAGUAGAAGAGGACAAGCACUCCUGAUGGAGGAUUGUUUCCUUGGUCAAGGGUAUAUGAGCACCUGUGCUCCCCUGCUAGAACCUCCAAAAAGCACUCAAGACGAACUGAAGGCAUUGUUCUUCUUGUCCAAAAUCAAGGUCUUU
rfam:Heterocephalus glaber contig229494, whole genome shotgun sequence.